UUUUCGGUUGAUCCUGCCGGACCUGACUGCUAUCGGAUUGGUACUAAGCCAUGCGAGUCAUUGUAGCAAUACAAGGCGGACGGCUCAGUAACACGUAGUCAACCUAACUCGUGGACGUGGAUAACCUCGGGAAACUGAGAAUAAACCGCGAUAGAUCAUUAUGCCUGGAAUGGCUUAUGGUCCAAAUAGUUUACUGCCAUGGGAUGGGACUGCGGCCUAUCAGCUUGUUGGUGAGGUAAUGGCCCACCAAGGCUAUAACAGGUACGGGCUCUGAGAGGAGAAGCCCGGAGAUGGGUACUGAGACACGGACCCAGGCCCUAUGGGGCGCAGCAGGCGAGAAACCUUAGCAAUGUGCGAAAGCACGACUGGGUCAGUCCGAGUGAUUCCUGAUAAAGGAGUCUUUUGCUUGUCCUAAAAGCACAGGUGAAUAAGGGGUGGGCAAGUCUGGUGUCAGCCGCCGCGGUAAUACCAGCACCUCGAGUGGUCAGGACGUUUAUUGGGCCUAAAGCAUCCGUAGCCGGCUCUGCAAGUCUUCGGUUAAAUCCACCUGCUCAACAGAUGGGCCGCUGGAGAUACUACAGAGCUAGGGAGUGGGAGAGGCAGACGGUAUUCAGUGGGUA
rnacentral:rRNA from 1 species